rnacentral:rRNA from 1 species
AUUGAACGCUGGCGGCAGGCCUAACACAUGCAAGUCGAACGAGUGGCGGACGGGUGAGUAAUGUCUGGGAAACUGCCUGAUGGAGGGGGAUAACUACUGGAAACGGUAGAUAAUACCGAAUACCCUCAGAUGCGCUCAGAUGGGAUUAGCUAGGUGGUGGGAUAGCGGCUCACCAAGGCGACGAUCCCUAGCUGGUCUGAGAGGAUGACCAGCCACACUGGAACUGAGACACGGUCCAGAAUCCUACGGGAGGCAGCAGUGGGGAAUAUUGCACAAUGGGCGCAAGCCUGAUGCAGCCAUGCCGCGUGUAUGAAGAAGGCCUUCGGGUUGUAAAGUACUUUCAGCGGGGAGGCGUUACCCGCAGAAGAAGCACCGGCUAACUCCGUGCCAGCAGCCGCGGUAAUAC